rnacentral:lncRNA from 1 species
UUUUUUUUCUACUCCCCAAGCUUAUUUUCGAACCUCUUAUUUAUAGAUAAUUUUUUUAUAAUUUUUUGAUAGGAAAAGAAGUUUUAAAACCCUUAGAAAUCAUAUAAAAACCCUUAAAAAUUUUUCUAACCAUCAGAUGGAGCUUAGACAGCUCAGAUCUGAUCAAAAAUCAAUGUUUUAAUCCUUAUCAAAGUCAGAUCGAACCACAGCCAUCCGAUCAUGCAUGGGAUUGAUUCUGGACCAUCAAAUCAUGUAAUUUAAAUUCUUAACACAGUCGGGAGCAUUCUCAAUCAUCCGAUCGUAUGAUGGAUCACUUCUGGACCGUCGGAUCGUACAAAAACCCUUCUUAUAAAUCGACAAUGGAUGUUGACUAUCGGAUCUGGAUCGAGAUGAAUUUCAGCCAUUGGAUCGCACCCAGAAUCCUUCUCUCACUGUGAGCCAUGCCUGUGGACCACGUGAAAUUUUCUAUGGACUAUGCCCUGGCUCUGUGGACCGACCGAUCGGUCCACCCUGCACCAG